GGAUGGCAAGAAUGAUGAGAAAAUUUGAUUAUGGGAAAGGAUUGAUUCCUUGGUGAAUUUAACCAUUAAUGCUUAUUGAUAUUCUGACUUGCUAUUC